rnacentral:tRNA from 1 species
UGUUAGCAUAGUUUAACAAAAACACUAGAAUGUGGCCCUAGAAAUAGAAGUUCAACUCUUCUUGCAAACC